CUCCCCUCGAUCUAAAACAGCGCUAGGGUUUGCCCAGCCGCCACGCUCCGCGCUGCCGCCAAGGCCCGCUCCGCCCCCACCGCUCCCCGCAACGCCGCUGCCGGAGGGCCGGCCGGCGAAGCCGCGCCGCGCCCAGGGAUGGCAGCGGCGGGGCGGUUCCGUCUCCCUACCUCCAGCCAGAGCCACCACCCCACCAUACGUAGAUCUGGCCGGGAGCCCCGCCGCCGACGAGGGCCACACCGGCGAUCUCGCGCAACCUACCCGCCUCAUGUUUCCUCUCCGUUCUCCUCCUUCUCUCUCCGACCCUUGUUCAUCCGCGGCCGCCGAGCUCGCCCCGAUUCAUGGCCCUCUCCUUCCGCCAACUCUGGUCCGUCGCCGGUCGUCUGUGGCGCGAGCGUCGCACCUCCUCCUCAACCUCCUCGAUCCGCGAUGCCCUGACUGCACUGCGCACGUGCGCCUCGCGAGCCAUGGCCGCCUUUUGCCGAGCUGCGGGAUCGACGUCUGACCGCCAUCAUGACCGGCCUCUUGCGAAGGUCCCGGUCGCAGUCUCCUGUGCCUUUGGACCUUGGGAGCGACUGGGUGAUUAUAUGCCAGCUGUCUUGGUUGAGCUAGACGCCAAAAGCAAUAUUGCAACACCAUGCGUGAGGAACAUGAUUCUGCCAGUAUUUAAGCAUUAUACUUGCUAACACUGAGAGCUUAAUUAUCUUUGAUGCAACCAGUCCGUCCAAGCAUCCAAAUAGUUGAUUUGGGAUGUAGAGAUUAAAGAACAGUAGGGCGUCAGGUUCAGAAUUGCCUUGGCAUCUUCCAGUGUGGGACGAUGUUGAUUGUCGGGAUUUGAAGAUAAGUGUGCCCCAUACCGUGGCUGAGCCUGUCGGUUUCGCACAGUGGCUGCACGACACCUCAUGGACCCGAUGUGAAGGACAAGUAAGCCAUCCACACGAAGUCGGCGGCAGCAAGGGUGUGGGGCGUCGGGAGGAGCAUCUGGGUUGAAGGUUCUGGCCCUCGCCAUUGAGACUACCGUGUUCGUCGCCGAGUACAUCUGGGGAAGGUGGAGCUGCGAGGAAACAAGACAGGUGGACAAUGCGACAGGAAGCAAGAAUGAAUUUCUAAUCAAUCUACUGUUUCCCUUGAGUCGGGGGGAACGUACCACGCACCACGUUGUGUUUAUUGAUCUGGAAUCCUAGAGGAUCACCCACCCUCGUAAUUCAGUAUUGAGAUGAUCUCCUUAAUUUCUCAAAUGUGUUUUAUUAAAUUGGAUUCCUGUAAUUAUCCUUGCUCUAAUUUGAUAGUUUUACCCUCCCGAGCAUGUUGUGCUUCCAUAAAAACAUGAAUAUUUCUCAGCCAUUUUAUUGAAAAUGUAGUCGUAUGCUUUCACAUUGACUCUGGAUAUUCUCCUAAACGAAGGUCAAGAACAAUUGAUUUUAUCGGCAACAGGAGGCGCUUAUCAGUCGCCAUCAAGUGCCUCAACCAGUGCGGCGUCCAGCAUGUUUGGGCUGGGGAGACAGAGAUGGUAUGCGGAGUAAGAAGAGUGAUUUAAGGGGAGAGAAAUCAUAACAGGGGUUGGUGGAGCAGAAGAGGGCGAAGGAAGACUUGUGGGGAGCUGCGAGGAAUAGAUUUUGGGGUAUGUUACUAUUUUAUGUGUGAUAUCAGUUCAUAAUUUACUGCAGCGGUCAGUUCUCUACCUUCUAUGUACUAGGUUAAUUCUAUUUGCUAGCCUGAAGUGUUUUUUCUAUAGCAACUAAAUAUUGUGAAAGUAACCCUGAAACAUACACACAUCUACUAAAUGCAAAAUUGUUUCUCUGUUGGUACGAACAAUCAUGUAGAUUACUGCAUGUAGUUUCGUUUUGCACACAACAUACUCUCCAGUAGUGCCGAAAUUAGAAUCUCAAUCCCUGUCCAUUAUACAAGAUGCAAAAGAGUUCAGAAUAAGAUAUUCAUCAUCAUAUUCACGCAUUUUCUGUUGUAAUAUAUAUUUUGUAUUUGUGUACAGGUUGACACAUUACACAUACAUACAGUAUGUCUGACUUACGCAGAAGAAAAGGGACCCUUCAUAUAAAUUAUUUGCAUGCUCAUAGUUAUGAACUUAAUACACUUUGCCUGGCAUUCAUAACCAUUAUACUUCCUCCUGCCCAAAUUUGUUGUCCUACGUAAUAGUGUUCCACUUUGCGCCUACCACUGGUAGCUGGAAAUUAGAUAUAAUAAUAAUCAGUUUCCUUGCUAGAUUUGUUUCCUUAUAGGAUAUCCUGCCAAUUUGAUCUAUUUUUGGCUAGAGCACAUGGGAUCAAACCAGAGGUAAUCAAUUUUCUAUGUUCACCUGAUUAGUUAUAAGGAAUUUAUUACCUCUGUUUUAUUUCCAGGAUACCCAAACCAGUGGUAAUGUUUUUUAUGGCUUUGAAAUUCUGUACAAGGUAUUCUCAUGUCUAAAUACUAGAAUUGUUUGUUCAUUGCUAAAUUGUUAAUGAGGGGUCCAUGUAGUGCUCUCAGUGGAGACACUAGACCAUCUGAUGUUCAUUUAGACAUUUCUAUUCAAACUUUCAAAGUGAUUGUUUUCUUUUUGUGUGUCCACACAGUUGUUUGUGUGCAUCCAAUAUAAAACUUGCUAUGAAUUUGCACCACCUACACCCUUUUUCCAUGUCUUAGUCUAUAUGAAUUACCCACUUUAUAUACCGCAAAAAGAAAUUACCCACUUUAUAAUAACUCACAUGUUAAUUAAAAGGAAAAAGAUCUGAACCAUCGACACUCUAUAAGUUAAGUUGUUCAGCUAAAAUUUAACAAAGAGAUAUUUGAUUACAUGGAUCUCUAAUUUUUCUGCAGUGUUGUAAUUAUAUUGUCUCGGGUGUUGUUGUACGUUCCUUGUAUCAUGUUGACUUACUCCUUGAUCAAUAGGGAUGUGGAUACAAAAUUCCGUUUUCCACUACUUAUAUUAUCCUCAUUGGACCUUAAGCUAUAAUCAUCGGUUGUUGUUGUGUGUCUGCCUGCCUGGCAAUGUUUCACCUCUAUUUUUGACCUACUGUUGACUUAUUUGGAACCUGAGAAAGAAUUAUUUUACAUGUUAGAGUACUCUCAUAUGUUCGAAGUCAUAAAACCAGCUGAGAUAAUGAAAUAAUGCCAGGUAAUUACUCGUGGUUUCAAGGUUGCGCAAAGGAGAGGAGGCAUGGUUAUAGGUCCUCGACAACAUCUGCGCCUCAUAGGUCAGCCAUGAUUCUCGGAUUUUUUGUUCUGCUGUUAUUCCCAAAGAAACAUCGUAGUUCUUUUGGAUGGUCAAAGAUUAUUCAGUUACUGAAAUACUUCUUAUCCAAAGAGCUGGGAAUAUUUAAAACAUCUAAAUUGCUUAUCUCAACACUAUAAUAGAAAGUACUAUAUCAAAAAUAAUAACAAAACACCGUGAUAAACUGGGCACCGGAGCCAUAUUGACACAGACCCAUGAUCAAUGAUAUGUGAGCCAAGUCUUCCCGUGAACUUACAUCCACCCAUUGAGUGCAUGAUUUCUUCCAUCUCCUUUUCUUUUGUUUUCCAGGGCAGAUAUUCCACUGUGCAUCGUAUUUGACCAUACUUAACCAAGUUGAUUCAUAUCAAUUAGUAUCUUUUGGUUUUCUUCCAGUUUAUUAGGCAUGGACCCAGCCACAAAUUCUGAAGCUUCAAUAAUUUGGGUGGUCUAAUAGUUCCUGUAUAGCUUGAUGUCAUAUCAGGUGUAAUAUUUUGUUGUUGCUUGAUGUUGCAUCAAGACAAGCUAGGGUCAACAAGGAACAAAGGGGUUGACACAUGGAGAAGCGGGAGCAUAAAAUUCAAAAGGUACUGAACAUGUGUAUGGAUUACACUGGUGAGUGAAUGGUGUGGCACAUUGAGUCAGAGAGGAGUAGUUGCUUGUCUGGUAUGAAAAACAGUUGUUUCUCGAUUAGAUUAAGGCCAAACUUAUCUUCAACAUGUGUGGUCUUUCAUCACCAUUUUAAAAGAGGUUCAAUGCAAAAUCCUCAGACUGCCAAUUUUUACUAUAUUGGAAGUACUUUAUCGAUACGUUUGGAACAAUUCUCAGAUUCCAUGAAACAUAUUCGUGGCACCAAUUUUAACUAAAGAAUAAAUCAAUCUCAAUUUUGUUCUGUAAAAAAUUAAAGCACUCUCCUUUCCUAUGAGAAAAGAAAACAUAUACUCCAAUUGAAGGAAGGAGUACAAAGUUGAGUCAUUUUUGAGUCACUUAUUGCGGGACGGAGGGAGUACUACAUUGAAGCGAUUGCCAAUUCAAGGAAUCAUUUUCUAUGGUCAGUCCAAACAAACAAAAUUUAACCAUAUGAAAACAAUAUUUAGUUGCCAUAGAAGUAAUUUGACCCAAAACAGUUGCCAUCCAAAAAAAGGAAGUGAAAAAACCAUAUGAAGGAAACUAAAGUUCCAAAAGCAAGGAGUAUCAACAUUUGAAACAAAAUAUAUUUUCAUACAGAAGUAAUUUACAUCUAUGGAAGCAAUUUUUUGGUCAUCACUAAUCUGUAUCAAUAUGUGUUGCAUUCUCUUUUAGAGAAGUGAACUCUGAAAUCCCUCCUCAUUCCAAACAAUGAAAUUAUGAGGCUGAAAGUACAAAUUUGUUACGACAUGACUGACUUAGAG